rnacentral:lncRNA from 1 species
GAAGAUCUGGUGGAGAGAGAAAAUGGUGGCAGCCGGCGUGUUUGGGCUUUUCCGGCCAGCUCCGGCGGAGGAUGGAUGAUCGGAGGAUGUAUCCCGACUCUCCUCAGCUCAAGCUUCGCGAUGGCACUGGUUUCGUGGCGAUCGGGCUUCGUUUGCAAAUCGACGGUCGAGAUCGUCCGCAAAUCUCUCCGGAUGAUCGG